rnacentral:rRNA from 1 species
UAGGGAAUCUUCGGCAAUGGACGAAAGUCUGACCGAGCAACGCCGCGUGAGUGAAGAAGGUUUUCGGAUCGUAAAACUCUGUUGUUAGAGAAGAACAAGGACGUUAGUAACUGAACGUCCCCUGACGGUAUCUAACCAGAAAGCCACGGCUAACUACGUGCCAGCAGCCGCGGUAAUACGUAGGUGGCAAGCGUUGUCCGGAUUUAUUGGGCGUAAAGCGAGCGCAGGCGGUUUCUUAAGUCUGAUGUGAAAGCCCCCGGCUCAACGGGGAGGGUCAUUGGAAACUGGGAGACUUGAGUGCAGAAGAGGAGAGUGGAAUUCCAUGUGUAGCGGUGAAAUGCGUAGAUAUAUGGAGGAACACCAGUGGCGAAGGCGGCUCUCUGGUCUGUAACUGACGCUGAGGCUCGAAAGCGUGGGGAGCAAACAGG